rnacentral:rRNA from 1 species
AGAGUUUGAUCAUGGCUCAGAUUGAACGCUGGCGGCAUGCCUUACACAUGCAAGUCGAACGGCAGCACGGGAGCAAUCCUGGUGGCGAGUGGCGAACGGGUGAGUAAUAUAUCGGAACGUGCCCAGUAGUGGGGGAUAGCCCGGCGAAAGCCGGAUUAAUACCGCAUACGACCUGUGGGUGAAAGCGGGGGAUCGCAAGACCUCGCGCUAUUGGAGCGGCCGAUAUCAGAUUAGCUUGUUGGUGGGGUAAAAGCCCACCAAGGCGACGAUCUGUAGCUGGUCUGAGAGGACGACCAGCCACACUGGGACUGAGACACGGCCCAGACUCCUACGGGAGGCAGCAGUGGGGAAUUUUGGACAAUGGGCGCAAGCCUGAUCCAGCCAUGCCGCGUGUGGGAAGAAGGCCUUCGGGUUGUAAACCACUUUUGUCAGGGAAGAAACGGUCUGAUCUAAUACAUUGGGCUAAUGACGGUACCUGAAGAAUAAGCACCGGCUAACUA